AGUAUGCACAGUAGUGAGAAAGUGCUUGCCUUAAAAAGUGUAACUACUCAAUUACUGAAGGAGUACUAAAAGAACAAAUCCAUCUUGAAGAAGUCCACAAUGCAAAUGUUUGUGUUUAAGGGAAUAACUCAGGCCUAGAAUUGGUGAAUAUGCAAAAUCUAAUCCCACCUCAAGGGAGAAACAGAUCAGAAUUUGACUUCUAGAUUUGAUCUGACCAACACAUUAACCACUUGCUGCAUGUAGGUACUUAAAUCUAAAUCAAUUAAAAUGAAAUGAAGUAAGAAAUUCAGUUUUUCAGCCAAACUGGCCACAUUCCAAUUGCCCAAUAGCAACUGUGGCUGGUAUCAACCAUACUGGCUAAUGCAGCUCUAGAACAUGUCCAUCAUUUCAGAAAUCACUUUCCUAAAAAAAUUAAACUGACAGCAUUUUGCAAAAUACGUUGGGUCCAGAGGUUGCGUGAAGAGGAUCUUCUUAGAAGGCUAUUUUUGUAGUCCAUUUAAAGAUGGUGUUAGUAAAAAAAGAGCUAAGAGAUUGAUAUGAGGUGAUAUGCAAUUGUUGUGAGGUAUAAAAUGUGAUGCUGUCACUUUUAGCUUGAGAGCCUGGGAGAUAGAAAUGUCGUGAAGAGAAAUAUUGGGCCCAUAGGAAACAGCAAGUGUAGAAGGAAAGGUCCCCUGGGAAUAUGCUGAGUGGAGUUGCAGAGGCUAUUCAGAUAAAGCAGCUCAAUGUAUCAGUGCUUAGAAUGAAUCUUAUAAUAAUGAGUGGAUUUUUAUGAGAAGUCAGGCGGGAACUGACUUUAUUUUUUCUUAGUUGCUUGUUUAUUUAUUUACUUAUUUGUUUGUUUUCAUUUUUACUUUUAUUUUGGUCACUAAAUAUGCAUAAGCCUAUUAGGAAGCUUAAUAUUUUUAAAAUAGGUAAAAUUUAUGUUGAAUAAAGUAGACAAGAAUUAAAUGUACUGCUCCACUAUUACAUAUUUGUAUGACAGUGACAAUACCACCAAGAUCAAGAUUCAGAAGAAUUUCCCAUGUACCCCAAAGUCAUCUAACACCUUCUUAGACAACCCCCAACCUCCCUAGUUUCACUUCUUCUUGAACUUUACAUAAAUGGAAUGACAGAGAAUGUGUUGCUUUAUAUGAAGCUUUUGCUCAAGAUAGUAUUCGUGAGAUAUUUCCCAUGCUGUUUCUUUUAUUAGUAGGACUUUUAUUAUUGCUACUGCUUUAUGUGCAGUAUGCCUUUGUGUAGAGCCACAAUUGAUUUAUCUAUUCUCCUGGUAGUGGACAUUUGGAUUGUUUCUAGUUUUCAGUUAUUAUUAUUAUUGUUGUUGUUGUUAUUUUGUAGUUGUAGAUGGACAGAUGCCUUUAUUUUAUUGAUUUAUUUUUUAUGUGGUGCUAACGAUCGAACCCAAUGUCUAACACAUGCUAGGCAAGCGCUCUGCCACUGAGCUACACAGCCCCAGCCCCUUCAGUUAUUAUUAAUGAAAAUACCAUAAUUUUCUGGUGCAUGUCUUUGGUGGACACAUGCAAUGGUUUCUCUUGGGUAUGUAUCUAGAACUGGAAGCUCAUAGAGUUCUGAACAUGUGUAAAUAAAAUAAUGUAUCUAAAAGUUCAUCGUUAUCUCACCCUUUGCCUUGUUAGUUGUUUCUCCAUUCAUAUAUAUGUACGUGUGCGUCUGUGUGUGCAAAAAUCCACAGCAUGUUAUGUACGUUACAUUUGUAGUAAUUAAGUUAAAAAUAAGAUAGCAAAAAUGAUCUGAUUUCAUGAAAUUUUUAAAAACCCUCAAAAUUAU
rnacentral:lncRNA from 1 species